GGGCCAUUAGCUCAGUUGGUAGAGCACCUGACUUUUAAUCAGGGUGUCGCAGGUUCGAUUCCUGCAUGGCUCACCA
rnacentral:tRNA from 1 species